CCACGGGGCGCACCAGUGAGGAAUAUUGCACAAUGGGGGGAACCCUGAUGCAGCAACGCCGCGUGGAGGAUGACGCAUUUCGGUGUGUAAACUCCUUUUAUAUGUCAAGAAAAUGACGGUAGCAUAUGAAUAAGCACCGGCUAACUCCGUGCCAGCAGCCGCGGUAAUACGGAGGGUGCAAGCGUUACUCGGAAUCACUGGGCGUAAAGGACGCGUAGGCGGGUUGGAAAGUCAGGUGUGAAAUCCUACAGCUUAACUGUAGAACUGCACUUGAAACUUCUAAUCUAGAGUAUGGGAGGGGGGGAUGGAAUUAGUGGUGGAGGGGUAAAAUCCGUAGAUAUCACUAGGAAUACCUAAAGCGAAGGCGAUCUCCUGGAACAUUACUGACGCUAAGGCGUGAAAGCGUGGGGAGCAAACAGGAUUAGAUACCCUAGUAGUC
rnacentral:rRNA from 1 species